CAGCAGCCACGGUAAUACGGAGGGGGCUAGCGUUGUUCGGAAUUACUGGGCGUAAAGCGCACGUAGGCGGCUUGGUAAGUUAGAGGUGAAAGCCCAGGGCUCAACCCUGGAAUUGCCUUUAAGACUGCCGAGCUAGUAGGUGAGAGAGGUAAGUGGAAUUCCGAGUGUAGAGGUGAAAUUCGUAGAUAUUCGGAAGAACACCAGUGGCGAAGGCGGCUUACUGGCUCAUUCUAGACGCUGAGGUGCGAAAGCGUGGGGAGCAAACAGGAUUAGAUACCCGCGUAGUCCCUGUCUCUUAUAC
rnacentral:rRNA from 1 species